rnacentral:rRNA from 1 species
UACCUACCCUUGACAUGUCUGGAAUCUCGCAGAGAUGUGAGAGUGCCCGAAAGGGAGCCAGAACACAGGUGCUGCAUGGCUGUCGUCAGCUCGUGUCGUGAGAUGUUGGGUUAAGUCCCGCAACGAGCGCAACCCUUGUCAUUAGUUGCUACGAAAGGGCACUCUAAUGAGACUGCCGGUGACAAACCGGAGGAAGGUGGGGAUGACGUCAAGUCCUCAUGGCCCUUAUGGGUAGGGCUACACACGUCAUACAAUGGCUGGUACAGAGGGUUGCCAACCCGCGAGGGGGAGCUAAUCCCAUAAAACCAGUCGUAGUCCGGAUCGUAGUCUGCAACUCGACUGCGUGAAGUCGGAAUCGCUAGUAAUCGCGGAUCAGCAUGUCGCGGUGAAUACGUUCCCGGGUCUUGU